CCUACGGGCGGCAGCAGUGAGGACUAUUGGUCAAUGGACGAGAGUCUGAACCAGCCAAGUAGCGUGAAGGAUGACUGCCCUAUGGGUUGUAAACUUCUUUUAUAUGGGAAUAAAAUGUUCCACGUGUGGGAUUUUGUAUGUACCAUAUGAAUAAGGAUCGGCUAACUCCGUGCCAGCAGCCGCGGUAAUACGGAGGAUCCGAGCGUUAUCCGGAUUUAUUGGGUUUAAAGGGAGCGUAGGUGGAUUGUUAAGUCAGUUGUGAAAGUUUGCGGCUCAACCGUAAAAUUGCAGUUGAAACUGGCAGUCUUGAGUACAGUAGAGGUGGGCGGAAUUCGUGGUGUAGCGGUGAAAUGCUUAGAUAUCACGAAGAACUCCGAUUGCGAAGGCAGUUCACUGGACUGCAACUGACACUGAGGCUCGAAAGUGUGGGUAUCAAACAGGAUUAGAUACCCGGGUAGUC
rnacentral:rRNA from 1 species